UGUGAGCACGUUUGGAUCCGCGAAGGCAAUCGCUCGGAUCUUCCCCUAACCCACCCCGGGAACGGACCGGAGGGAACCGCAACAUGAGGAAUGUCCGCUCCUCGUCGCAAGGCUCAUUUUGAGUUUUGGGUCAUAGGGCGGGCAGUGCAGUCCGGGGCACAAGGGUCCUGGUACUACCCAGGUGCGAAGAACCCUGGAGGCGACUGCAAUGAGCAAAAAUGUAACUCACCGGCCUAAACGACAAGCAAACACUUGAACGUGAGAGCAAGGGAUCACCCAACGAAUGGACGAGCUCCAAGGAGGGAGGAGAGAGGGA
rnacentral:lncRNA from 1 species